AGGAGGGACAGACCAUGAACACACAGAGGUGGAUUUGCCCUUUACAUGAGGCAACGCUUGGAGUGUGCUGAGCUCUGUCUCGGGAUAUCUUCCAGAACUAAUGGGAAGAGCCUGCUCAGCACCACUCAAUCCACCCAGCAUGUCCCAAAGAACCUAGGCUCCUAAACUGGGCCCUCAGAGGCUGCCAAUCAACCAGGACAUAAACAGAGGGGCUCAGGACCAUGAUGUGCACAGCCAAGGUGCACCUUUCACACUUCCCACAGUGAGUUGCAAUAAUGAGUGCCACACAUGGGAAAUAUGAAAUGUGGAGAUUGAUGAACAGAAUAACUUCAGAGUAGCCACUUGCACCCUAAAGUUACUUUGGAGGAAAGAACUUCAUGAAACUAAGUCAGUGAAAGUCUGUUCCAGGAGUCAUGCCUUCCUUAAUCAAGUCAUUAUGUUCUUGCACUGUUCA